GACGAACGCUGGCGGCGUGCUUAACACAUGCAAGUCGAACGGAAAGGCCUGCUUUCCCUUGUGGAUUGCGGGUACUCGAGUGGCGAACGGGUGAGUAACACGUGAGUGAUCUGCCCCCAACUUGGGUAUAAGCCUGGGAAACUGGGUCUAAUUCCCGAUAGGACUGCAGGGUGGUGCCUGUGGUGGAAAACGAUUUUCUAGUGGUUGGGGAUGAGCUCGCGGCCUAUCAGCUUGUUGGUGGGGUAAUGGCCUACCAAGGCGGCGACGGGUAGCCGGCCUGGGAGGGGGGACGGCCACAUUGGGACUGGGGUACGGCCCAGGCUCCUACGGGAGGCAGGAGUGGGGAAAAUUGGACAAUGGGCGGAAGCCUGAAGCAGCGACGCCGGGUGGGGGAUGACGGCCUUCGGGUUGUAAACUCCUUUCGACCGCGAGGAAGCCACCUGGUUGGAAGGGUGGUGACGGUAGUGGUAGAAGAAGCACCGGCUAACUACGUG
rnacentral:rRNA from 1 species